rnacentral:rRNA from 1 species
GUCUACAGCAGCAGCAUCCUAAAUGUGCCUCAACCCAUUUGACUGGGGAAACUAAGCAGGGCUGGGCUUGGUAGUACUUGUAUGGGAGACACCCUAGGUACUGUUGGUU